rnacentral:misc_RNA from 1 species
UAUCUCUGGGACAGGCAUAAAAG